ACUGAGGAAUGAUGACAAUAAAAGGCCGAAUUGCAGUGCCUCCUGGCAGUUUGCUCUCUGGGGCCACGAUGACAAAACUUCCUGAAGCGAACCAUAGUCUGACCUCGGU